AGAGGACUGAAAAUCCUCGUGUCACCAGUUCAAAUAGG
rnacentral:tRNA from 1 species